rnacentral:lncRNA from 1 species
CCAAGAUUCAUAAAUUGAAAGCUUUCAAUAUCAAUUUGGUGUGAUCAUUUAUUCAAGAGAUAGCAAUGGAAUAUACAUGUUUUGAUGGUGUUCAUCUCUAGAUCUCACAUUGUAUUAUUGUUGUAUUAUACAAGAUGAAUUGGGUUGGUUGUUUUGAAGACAUAAUCAAAAUUCAUUGGAUUGGGUAAAAACCAGUAAUUUUUGUUACUCUCUCCAACUAAUCCAAUAAAAGAUAUUGAAUCGUGUAACAUGAAAAUCUCAUCAUUAAUUUCAACUUAAAAAAGGUUAAAUAUUUACCUAAAAAUAAGCAAAUUAGUCUAACUCAGGCUUAUCUCCCAACAUAAUUAAUCAUCCUUUUCAACUAUACUCAAGGCCACCACUCAAUUAGGGAGAGUGAAAACAUUGGUUAUCAAACAUGUCUAAUAUGAUUCUUGUGACCUAUCUUCAAUGAAAUAUCCAUUAUUAUUUGGUCAUUUGACAUUGUCAAACAACCUAAAAGAAAAAGUUGUGUGUUCUAGUUUAUGGAACUUUGGAGGAUAA